rnacentral:rRNA from 1 species
UGAGCAGGAAAGCAGGGGAUCGCAAGACCUUGCGCUGAUUGAGCGGCCGAUAUCAGAUUAGCUAGUUGGUGGGGUAAAGGCCUACCAAGGCGACGAUCUGUAGCGGGUCUGAGAGGAUGAUCCGCCACACUGGAACUGAGACACGGUCCAGACUCCUACGGGAGGCAGCAGUGGGGAAUUUUGGACAAUGGGGGCAACCCUGAUCCAGCCAUGCCGCGUGAGUGAAGAAGGCCUUCGGGUUGUAAAGCUCUUUCGGCCGGGAAGAAAUCGCGCAGGCUAAUACCCUGUGUGGAUGACGGUACCGGAAUAAGAAGCACCGGCUAACUACGUGCCAGCAGCCGCGGUAAUACGUAGGGUGCGAGCGUUAAUCGGAAUUACUGGGCGUAAAGCGUGCGCAGGCGGUUUCGUAAGACAGAGGUGAAAUCCCCGGGCUCAACCUGGGAACUGCCUUUGUGACUGCGAGGCUAGAGUACGGCAGAGGGGGGUGGAAUUCCACGUGUAGCAGUGAAAUGCGUAGAGAUGUGGAGGAACACCGAUGGCGAAGGCAGCCCCCUGGGCCGAUACUGACGCUCAUGCACGAAAGCGUGGGUAGCAAACAGGAUUAGAUACCCUGGUAGUCCACGCCCUAAACGAUGUCAACUAGGUGUUGGGUGGGUAAAACCAUUUAGUACCGUAGCUAACGCGUGAAGUUGACCGCCUGGGGAGUACGGCCGCAAGGUUAAAACUCAAAGGAAUUGACGGGGACCGCACAAGCGGUGGAUGAUGUGGAUUAAUUCGAUGCAACGCGAAAAACCU